rnacentral:misc_RNA from 1 species
AACGCACCUUGCGCUCCUUGGUAUUCCGAGGAGCAUGCCUGUUUGAGUGUCUUGAAAUCAUCAACCUCUCGCCCUCGCGCUUUCGGUGCGAUGGGUGGGGUUGGACCUGGGGCUGUGCCGCUUGCGUAAGGUGGCUCCCCCGAAAUGGAUCGGUUGGGCCUGUGGGUCGAACUCGACUGGGCGUUGUACCAUCCUCGCUCCACCGAGACGUUCCCCGAUGACUUGAGCCUCGACCACGACCUGCCUCUGGAGCGGCGGUCAAACCCUUUUCUUGACUCUGACCUCAAAUCAGGUAGGACUACCCGCUGAACUUAA